rnacentral:rRNA from 1 species
GAAGACGGCCAUAGUGGGUUGGAAACACCUGUUCCCUUUCCGAACACAGAAGUUAAGCUUCCCACGUUGUUGGUGGUAGUGGCUCACAAGCUGCGAACCCUUCAAGCUGUCUUUC